AUCAGAACAGACUGACGAUUAGAGACUAGUGAAUCCUGGUCGAGUGGGUAUCGGUAUGUAUAAUGUAUAUAUAUAUAUAUAUAUAUAUCUUCAUUCGGCGGUCAUAUCUUAAUUAAAUAAAGUAAUUAAACUGAUGAUGGUCAGCAGUCGUGGUCGAACUACGAUCAAUCGUUACAUACAUUUUUAUCUAUCUUAUAUGUUUUAUAAUCACCGCCAUAAUACGUCCAUAUUGUUUUCAGUUGUAGGUACAGCACGUUUCUGUGCGUACAUCCACGUCAUUUACGAUUGAUACGGCAAUUAUAUUAUAUAUAAAUUAUAUAUUUAAUUUUUUUAAAUUUACUAUAGAACAAUUAUUAUAAGUUUAUUUCGAAUAUUGUGUAGUCUGCAAAUAAUACUUAGGUAUACAUUUUUGUUUUAUUUUAUACUAUUAGUUAUUAUGUAGUUACAAUUUACAAGUUUAAAACCUAUAUUGUAAGUUUAUUUUUCACUGAUUUAUAUAACUUAAAAUAUUUAUAUUAUAUAUUAUUAAAUGACGUGUAACUUUCUACCAUUUAUACGCAAUCAUUGUAAAAAAUUAAAUAUAUUAAUAUAUCGUGAUCAAUGUUGUUUUAUAUAUAUACGUGUUAUUAAUUAAUAUUACGAAUUAUAAUAAACUGUUUUGAAACAAAGAAAUAUGGCAAGUAGCAUUAGAGAAAUCGAAACGGACGACAUCAUAUGUACGAAGAUUCCUAACAAAAUAUCUGUAGUUAUUUAUUGAAUAUCUCCUGAGUCUGGGUGCUUUCAAAUACAAUGAACCUAGAUAGCUAGAUAACCAUUUCCUCGGGAUGUUUUGCAUCUAACGCCGACACGUCAUUGUAACGCUUAUGACGUUUGCGUAUUUACGUGCUUUAAAUCGACUGCUGAUCAAAUCAAGAUUGCGUAAUAUUAUAUCAAAAUAUCAAUAUUCAAUAAAUAUAAAUACAUUAUGUUCUCUUAUUCUCGUGCAUGAUGCUUACCUCUUGUGGGACCAAUAAUCUUCGGGAACGUUCAAGUACUGUUCGGGCUUGUGUUCAACUGGAAAACACGCCACGGCCAGGUUAUCGUUCGGAACCGACAGAGAUCGAAUAGAUCCGAACGGUUCGUCCGGAAAUAGAGUGUUUCCGCUGUACAGUUCUUUACAAGCACUGGAAAUACAUCAAAGGAGAAAAAAUAAUAAAAUAAGAACACACACAAAACACAAAAUAAGAAUUCAGCCAGAUCAGAUUGUAUAACACCCACCCGUGCGCGGAAUCUGUGAAUAUCAAAAAUGGUUUUGGCGUCGGACAAGUGGACACUGGACUCGGGCUUCUGGUGUUGCUCCCGUGCGCACCGUUGUGCGGACAUUGCGGCGGCAAGUCUUCGAUGGCCAACGUUUCCUAUUUUUCGUUACACACUCACAAGAGAAUUUCCUCGGAUCGGGACCAGGACUGAUUGGAAAGAAGUCACCGUGGACGGGACAGUGAAAUCCAACCCGAGUUUGCCGGAAGCGGGCUUUCGUGCUGAUUGUCCGAAGCACAGCUGUUGCGAUGAACAUUACGAUCGAUACGACCAGACAUAUAGGUCCCAAUAAUCGUCCGUUGUUCGAUGACGUAUAGAACUUGCGUUUCGAGUCGUCUUCGCCAUUUCCAGUUACCCAGCCAAAAUAAAUCGAUGGCCCUAAAUUGCCUAUACAGAGCGCCGUCUUGAACAUAUACAAAAUGACAAUAAAAUGAAAUAAUAUAAUAUAAUUUUAUUUUACGAUACAAAUCAUUUUAAUAUAUUAUAAAUUAACAACACUACCCUUGCUUUUUAUAAGUAUAUACGAGCAUCAGUGAAAAACAAUUAUGUUAAAAUUAAAUUAAAAAAUUUAAUUGUGAGUGAGUCCAUUCAAAAUGUGUAUCUUUUAUAGUUGCGCAAGUCUAUGCGAUAUUAAGUAUUGUAUAUUUGUAUUACUAAGAUACAUAGUUAAAUUGUUUUGUUUUUAUUGAAAUUUUAACUACGGUUGUUGAUUUUGAUUAGCCGUUUAUGGACCAUUUAUUUCCAUUGCUAUGCUUCUGAUUUGUUAUUAACAUACAAACGACGAUAUCUAUAACCUAUUAUUUCAGGUUUGCAUUGACGAACAAUUUCUUAAAAAGUUUUAGAAACUUAAUUUUUAGAUAGUUUAUAAUAAUUUAUUUUUUAAAAAAGGUAGGCAAGAGUGUACCACUCUGCUGAACGAUAGGCAUCGAGUAGAUCACUAUUAUGGGCGUGUUAAAUUUGAAUUCAAUGAUAGGUAUUUCAUUGUAUACGAAAAACGAUUCACACCAUCACACCAUAUCAAAUCAAAAAAGCAUCACUCAACAUCAGGCUCCACAAAUUAAGACCACUACUCCGAUCCAAAAUUUCUAUAAACAACAAAACACUAAUUUAUAAACAAUUACUACGUCAAUAUGACCUAUGGAAUCCAACUUUGGGGUACAUUAAAAAAUUCAAACCUAACCAAACUUCAAGCUUUUCAGAACAAUGUAUUUUUGUGUCCUUUCUAAUGCUCCUUGGUACGUCAACAUACCAAUGCCCAACAUCAUCCACACUUGCUUCCUAUCACUACAAGACAUUUCAUAGUAACUGCUUUAAUCACUCAAAACCCCUCAUAUCAAAACUAUCUGCUCGCACAUUACCUGACAAACCCAUCCGUCAAGGACCGUCUCAAACGUAGAUAGUCACGUAUUUAUUAAAUAACAC